rnacentral:rRNA from 1 species
ACAGCAGCCGCCGCGGGAAAACGAAGGGUGCAAGCGUUACUCGGAAUUACUGGGCGUAAAGCGUGCGUAGGUGGUUGUUUAAGUCUGCUGUGAAAGCCCUGGGCUCAACCUGGGAAUUGCAGUGGAUACUGGGCAACUAGAGUAAGGUAGAGGAUAGUGGAAUUUCCGGUGUAGCAGUGAAAUGCGUAGAGAUCGGAAGGAACAUCUGUGGCGAAGGCGACUAUCUGGGCCAUUACUGACACUGAGGCACGAAAGCGUGGGGAGCAAACAGGAUUAGAUACCCCCGUAGUCCCUGUCUCUUAUAC